CGGAGGAUCCAAGCGUUAUCCGGAUUCAUUGGGUUUAAAGGGUGCGUAGGCGGAAUGAUAAGUCAGCGGUGAAAUCUCGGAGCUUAACUCCGAAACUGCCAUUGAUACUGUCAAUCUUGAGUACAUUUGAUGAGGGCGGAAUGUGUCAUGUAGCGGUGAAAUGCUUAGAUAUGACACAGAACACCGAUUGCGAAGGCAGCUCUCAAAACUGUAACUGACGCUGAGGCACGAAAGCGUGGGUAUCAAACAGGAUUAGAUACCCUGGUAGUCCACGCUGUAAGCUAUGAUUACUCGAUGUUUGCGAUAUACUGUAAGCGUCUAAGCGAAAGCGAUAAGUAAUCCACCUGGGGAGUACGCUCGCAAGAGUG
rnacentral:rRNA from 1 species